ensembl:lncRNA novel transcript
AAAUACUCGGUGCAGCAACCCUCGCCUGGGUCAGGUCAAUCGGCUGCCAGCCGGAUUGGCCGGCGUAUCAUUCCAGAAUGUACUGUUUGUUCUGUGGGGUUUAGGAGUUCUACAGUGGUUCUGCCCCAUCUUUCUAAAAAUACAAUACAGUGUUUCACUAUGUUACCCAGGCUGGUCUUGAACUCCUGGGCUCAAGUGAUCCUCCCACUUUGGCCUCUCAAAGCACUGGGAUUACAGGGUCUUACUCUGUCGCCCAGGCUGGAGUACAGUGGUGUGAUAUCGGCUCACUGCAACCUCUACCUACCUGGUUCAAGUGAUUCUCCUGCCUCAGCCUCCCGAGUAGCUGGGACUACGGGGUCACCAAGGAAGCCAGAGUGGAGGCUGCAGGGAAUAUGGAUUUAAAUGAAUUUUGGCUGUACCAUCAAGCAGUCUGAUCACUGAGGAAAUAUCAAAAGCUUCACCCGAGUGACUCAUCACCCAAAUUCAACAGAG